rnacentral:rRNA from 1 species
AUUGAACGCUGGCGGCGGGCCUAACACAUGCAAGUCGAGCGGAGCGGCGGACGGGCGAGUAAUGCCUAGGAAUCUGCCUGGUAGUGGGGGAUAACGUCCGGAAACGGGCGCUAAUACCGCACACUACUAGAUGAGCCUAGGUGGGAUUAGCUAGUGGGUGGGGUAAAGGCCUACCAAGGCGACGAUCCGUAACUGGUCUGAGAGGAUGAUCAGUCACACUGGAACUGAGACACGGUCCAGACUCCUACGGGAGGCAGCAGUGGGGAAUAUUGGGCAAUGGGCGAAAGCCUGAUCCAGCCAUGCCGCGUGUGUGAAGAAGGUCUUCGGAUUGUAAAGCACUUUAAGUUGGGAGGCGUUACCAACAGAGUAAGCACCGGCUAACUUCGUGCCAGCAGCCGCGGUAAUUC